rnacentral:tRNA from 1 species
GGUUGUGGCUCAGUGGUAGAGCGCUUGCCUAGCAUGUGUGAGGCACUAGGUUCAAUCCUCAGCACCA